GCAUGUCAUGGAAUUUAACUAUGGCAAAUAAGUGAGAGCCCACACGUGUGUUUGCAUAUUGAGUGCUGUGAGUGUUUAUAGUGCUGUGAGUUGAACACUUCAUCACUGACACACACAUCAAUCUUCAUCAUCAUCAUGACCUUCAUCAUCGUCUUCAUCUGGACUCUUUCAUACAGCUUCAUCCUGCGAGGAUGUGCAGCUCAGAUCACAGUGACUCAAAGUCCAGUGGAACCUGUAAAACCUGGAGAAAAUGUGCAGAUGAGCUGCAAACUUAGCGAACCUUCAAACUGCAGCCCAAACCCCUGUGUGUCCUGGUACUUACAGAAACCUGGAGAAGCUCCUAAACUCCUGAUUUAUAAAACAGACAUCCGUGAGUCAGGAACUGCAUCUAGAUUCAGUGGCAGUGGAUAUGAUACAGAUUUCACUCUGAGCAUCAGUGGAGUCCAGACUGAAGAUGCUGAACACUAUUACUGUCAGAGUGCACACUUCAUCAGCAAUAUUGGGUGGGUGUUGACACAGUGAUAAAGAGUGGUACAAAAACCUCCGUCAGUCAGUCAGAGUCACAGAGACUGAACUGAUCCUGGAACAGCUCAAACACUGAACACUACUGACACACAGAGGACAAACACACACACUACACCCUCGAUAAUGAUUACCUGAUUUCACUGACAGCCAACAUGACAUGAUUACACAUACACACAAACACACUGAGGCUCGUGUAGAUUUUAAAAAACCUAAUAAAUAAUAAAUAAAUCCAACAAUUCCCCUUUUAAACACAAACAUACCAUUUUAGCUUAAAACAAUAAGAGAUUUUUG